rnacentral:lncRNA from 1 species
AUUCUUUGCACUGACAUUGCUUAAAGAAGCAAGCUCUGCUUAAACUGUAAGUGCCCUUCAUUUUAGAAGAUUUCAUGAGGACCUUCACAGUAACGCCAAAUUAUGAACAAAUGGGCUGAUGAACAAAUGCUUACUGGCCAGCUGGUUACCUGUGCUCCAGAGAUGCCCGUUCUGAGUGCCCCGGCUGUUGUUCGCGCCUGAGCCAAACCCCAC